rnacentral:rRNA from 1 species
UGCUGUGGCAGUGGCCUUUUUGGCUGCGCUUGGCGUGUGUGCUGUGUGUGCUUGCUGGUGCCCUGUGUUGCGGUGGGACGUCAAGGUCAGUUCGUAUGCCGCGGGAAAUGGCUGCCGAGGAGGUAGGGCUUACGCUCCGCGUUUGUCUGUUAUAUCUCGGUGGACGAGUAGUCGCGGUUGGGACUGAGGUGCCUACAACGUGCUUUUGAGUGAGGAUGGGUCUCCGUGUGCGCCGUGUGCGGAUAGCUUGCUAUGCGUGUGUGGUUGUGCGUGGAUUGAUGCGUGCUUUAACUUGUCGCCGUUCGGGACGUUGACGAAAUGGAGCGAUCCGACCCGUCUUGAAACACGGACCAAGGAGUCUAACAUGUGUGCAAGUGUUAGGGUGUGGAAACCCCAGCGCGAAAUGAAAGUGAAGGGCAGCGCAAGCUGUCUGAGGUAGGAAACGUUGCGGGCCUCGGUCUGCGGCGUGGCACUAUCGACCGAUCAUGAGCCUUCGUGGCGAAAGAUUUGAGUUUGAGCACAUAUGUUGGUACCCGAAAGAUGGUGAACUAUG